rnacentral:tRNA from 1 species
GUUAUCGCCAAGCGGUAAGGCACAGGAUUUUGAUUCCUGCAUGCGAAGGUUCGAAUCCUUCUAGCC